CCUACGGGCGGCAGCAGUGAGGAAUAUUGGUCAAUGGGCGGAAGCCUGAACCAGCCAAGUAGCGUGCAGGAUGACGGCCCUACGGGUUGUAAACUUCUUUUAUACGGGAAUAACGCGCCUUACGUGUAGGUCUUUGCAUGUACCGUAUGAAUAAGGACCGGCUAAUUCCGUGCCAGCAGCCGCGGUAAUACGGAAGGUCCGAGCGUUAUCCGGAUUUAUUGGGUUUAAAGGGAGCGUAGACGGCUUGAUAAGCUUGCUGUGAAAUGCCGGGGCUCAACCCCGGCAUUGCCGCGCGAACUGGUGAGCUUGAGACCGGGGACGGCAGGCGGAAUGUGUGGUGUAGCGGUGAAAUGCUUAGAUAUGACGAAGAACCCCGAUUGCGAAGGCAGCUUGCUGCAGCGGAACUGACGCUGAUGCUCGAAAGCGCGGGUAGCGAACAGGAUUAGAUACCCGUAUAGUC
rnacentral:rRNA from 1 species